GUGUUGUUUGAAAGGAGAGAAGAUCAGCACUCCCCUUGAAAAGGAUGGAAGAGGCCCUUGUGGCCUGUACAAAAUGCAUACAGUUAAGGCACUGCCACCUCCUUUGUGGCAUCUAACCCUGUUUAA
ensembl:snRNA